rnacentral:tRNA from 1 species
AUGAAAAAAUAUUUUAUGUGGAAUUUUAUAGGAAUAAAAUUCCUAAACUGCGUGUCACUGGUUCGAUUCCGGUUAGGCGCACCA